UACGUAGGGUGCAAGCGUUGUCCGGAAUUAUUGGGCGUAAAGAGCUCGUAGGCGGUUUGUCGCGUCUGCUGUGAAAACUCGGGGCUUAACUCCGGGCCUGCAGUGGGUACGGGCAGACUAGAGUGCGGUAGGGGAGACUGGAAUUCCUGGUGUAGCGGUGAAAUGCGCAGAUAUCAGGAGGAACACCAGUGGCGAAGGCGACUCGCUGGACAGACAUUGACGCUGAGACGCGAAAGCGUGGGGAGCGAACAGG
rnacentral:rRNA from 1 species